UUGGGGAAGAAGAACACAAGCAAAAUCCUAACCCUCACUUUAAUUUCAAACCCAUGUAACUUUUGAUCCGGAGCUCCGAUUGACGAAUCGUUUGCGACCACGCGUUCAUCGCGACGAGCUCUAUGAAACUCAUUAAACAAUUUGCCUCAAGUUAGCUUCCGGAACUUGUGGGCUCAAGCUAUUGAGUAUAUGGGUAUGGUAUAGGUUAAGUAGGUGUUUAUGCAUUGGAUUUGAAUUGGGAUUACUUGGAGGUUCGUUGGUGACCAAGGCUUGUUUUGGGGAUAUUUGAUUGAGCUUGGAGGGGCUGUAAUUGUGUGUUGUGAGGCUGCCUUGGUGAAUUAAGUGAUUGGCCAAGAUGCAGGUCGAGAGGCUCCUCGCUAGGCGUCUAGUAGUCCUUGGGUGUAUUUUGGCUUCUGGC